rnacentral:lncRNA from 1 species
GUUUUCAGCAACUGAAGAAAAUAUACAUAUACAUAUACAUAAACAUAUACAUAUAUAUGAAUGAGAGAGAGAGAGAAGAGAGAGAGGUGAAAGAGGUGAACAACCAACCAGGGAAGUUGACUGAGCAGGAGACUGAAGUCACAGCUCUGAGGGCAUUGAGUUCAUAUGCUGCUUCCAGCUUUGUGUGGGACAUUUUUUGUGGGGUAAUGUCUCACUCACCAGAUCUGCAGACAGUAAUGAAGAAAGGUGGAAUAUGGAGCUGUGGUGAAUUUAGAGCUGUGGACCCAUCUUUUAGAUUACACAAUGGAUUUAUGAGGACCCUCUAUGAAAAAAACCUGUGAGAUAAGAAUGCCGUCCUCUUCUCUGCCUGUUGUAUUUUAUGACUGUGAAUAGAAGUGCUUAGUAAUAUUUUCUAGAACCUUUUGAUUUGUAAGACUCAUUUUUAAUUAAAAUAGUUACAUUUAUUUAUUCA